rnacentral:tRNA from 1 species
UACAGACAUAAUUCAAUGGUAGAUGAGCGGCCUCCAAAGCCGUUAACGUGGGUUCGAUUCCUGCUGUCUGUGU